AAUCUUCAGUGGAGCAGGAAGUGCUGACAUCUGCACAGUUUCCCAGAAGACAACUGCGUUUAUUUGUUGUCAUAGCAACGUAGGAACUUGAAAGCCCUCGUAAUGUAUGAGGGGUUUCUUUCUCACUCCAGCGUAAAAAGAGGUGAGUUUAGCAGAAACUCAUUUUUUUUUGUUUUGAGAGUUUGUUUCGCUGAACAUCACGCAAAACUUGUAAACGCAUAAACGUCAAUUUUAAUGUCAACUUUUCUGGAAUUUCCACAGGGAUGUCCGCUGAAGCGCGAGAGCACGAGCCUCUUCCGGUGAAGCCUUCCCGCUCCACGGUGGAUUUCAAAGAUCCUGACAUUCAUCACAGACAAAGGGAUGUAAAGAAACCCAGACGAGCGUCUGGUCAAAGACGGUGGUUCCUGGGUUUGGAGACCGAGUCCGAGUUGGUUUGGGAGGAUUGGGAGCCAGGCGGAAAGUUCACAAAGUCACUGGUGUUGAGGAACGUCCGCAACAAGCUGCACAAACUAAGCAUAAGGUUUUCUAAAAUCAUAUUUAAAGUCUCGCUCUGCUCCAGAAGGACGCCCUCACGUGAAUGUUUCGUUCUCCUUACAGACCUCCAGAAUCCGGGUUUUUCCAAACCUUUGUUCCUCACACGGUUCUUCUAAGUCCUGGGAUUUCUUACUCCAUUCCGGUCACUUUCAGACCUCUUCAGAAAGUGAGACAUUCCAGCAAUUAUAUCCUUAACGUCCUGACAAUUAGAGAAAAAAUAUGUUUUGUCAAUUUCUUCUUUAUUGACCAAAACUACAAUUUAUAUUUCAUUUCAUUUCAUUUUAUUUAUUUAUUUCAUUUUCAAGCACACAUAAGAAGUUUUACC
rnacentral:lncRNA from 1 species